GAAACAAUGAAUCUAAUGAUAUUUAUUUGUUUUUUUAGAAUCGCGCCUUAACCCCUUUCCAUUACAUUCAUAACGGAAAUACAUAGUUCAGUGACCAAAGACCCAACAUCACACCGGCACAAGGAAACUAGAAAGGGGGAGGCGAGUCCAAAGCAUCACUGGAAAACCCAGUGACACCAUCGAUCACGCUAGCCUCUAGGACCUAAACAUAAAGGCUGAAUCCAAAAGGAAACCCGCAACAGUUCGUAAUCUCCAAGGCUCACAAACGAGCAGGAAGACACUCGCGCAGGAGUGAGACAACUAUCCUGGCAAAAGUAAAUCCGAAGCAUCGGAGAGAGCAUCGGUCCAUCGCUGAAUUGGUUGGAGCCGCACAGAUUCUCAUCAUUGUCGAAGCAUUGGACCUGAGCAUCUUGGCUCCGCGCUCCAUGGCCUCCCGGUCAUCACUAGCCAUCAAACCUGUCUAGUAUGUAAAAAAAACCACAAGCAGCACACACCACAUUAAAUGGAGUCUUAAGCAUUUUUUGUUCAAAAGUAGCCUGGUUAUGACAGUUCCAGAUUGCCCAGCAAACGGCUGCCAAACCAAAGGUAUAAAACUUAGCCCCAUCAGGAAGGAAUAUGUAACACCAGGAGAAAUACUGCCAGCUAUUGUUCGGGCAAAGAGAUGUGCCGAACACACACCCAACCGUCCUCCAAACCACCCGAGCAACAUGACAGGUGAAAAAAAGAUGUUGCGAAGUUUCAACAUCUCUGCAGAACGAGCAUCUAGGAUUGCCUGCCCAAUUUUGCCUCUUCAUGACUUCUCGCGUCAGAAUCGCGUCUUGAAACAAUUACCAAAGAAAUAUUUGGAUUUUGAGGGGAAUCUUAGCUUUCCAGAUCCACCUGUAAUCACACCCAGCCAGGUGUCUUUCCAAAUAGGUGUAGACUGAUUUGGUCGAAAACUUACUUUUUUGGCCCAAAGACCAGCUAAUCUGAUCAGAUUCACCAGAUAAAUGCCAGCAGUUAACCACCCUAACAAGAUCGUUCCACUGAUCCGUAAGGGGAGGAUGUAGGUUUCUUCUAAAGAGAUCAUUGCCCUCGAAGUUUCUAAACUCAGCAAGAGUGAUUUCCUGAUAAUUGCAUAUGCUGAAUAAGGCCGGAAAUUGGUCUCGCAAAGGAGCAUCACCUCUGAUAGGGUCAUUCCAUACUCUGGCCAUAUUCCCAGAGUUCAAAAUCACUUUUCUUCCUGCCAAAUAUACCUCCUUUACUUUCAUAAUAGCUUUCCAGAUGGGGGAAUCCCCAAAUUUACUUUGCACCGAGGGUACCGUAUCAUUUCUGAAAUAUUUAGCACGGAUCAUGUCCUGCUGAAGGCCUUGUUGAGUUUCCAGUUUCUACCACCACUUGGUGAGGAGACUAAUAUUCUGUCUAUGUAGAUCUUUAACUCCUAAUCCUCCUUUGUUCUUAGAUCUACAGAUUCUAGACCACUUGACCAAGUGAUAUCUUCUACGACCAUCAUUCUCUUGCCAAAAAAACUUUUUUCUAUGCUUUUCUAAUUUUUCAAUGAUCUUCUUAGGAAGCAUAAACAUAGACAUGUAGUAGAAGAUGAUACUAGUAAGGGAGGAGUUGAGUAGGGUCAGUCUUCCCCCUGAAGACGCUGCAUUACCAAUCCAGGAUUCACAACAUCUGAGGAAUUUAUCAUCCACAAAGCUCCAGUCUAAAGCACGGAGUAUAGAAUAGCUCACAGGCACCCCUAAAUAUUUCAUAGGGAAGUGACCAAUCUGGAAAUUGAAGAGAUCAGAGUAGAAAGUUAGUAUGUCAUCAUUUCCCCCUAUAUAUACAUAAGAUGUCGCUCUUCAGGAAAUUUAUUUUAAGCCGAGACAUGAGUUCAAAGAUAUAUAGCAAGAGCUUUAAAUUGACCGCAGCUUCUUUAUCAUGCUCAAAGAAAAUGACAGUAUCGUCUGCAUACUAGAGGAUAGCCACCCCCCCCCCCCAUUAAUUAGGUCUGGGGCCAGACCUGUCAGCAUUUUUUCUUUUUGAGCAUUAAGGAUCAUUUUGGAUAGGGCUUCCACAACCAUAUUGAACAAAAAAUGUGAGUACGGCCAGACCUUGCCGCAUCCCUUUGUAACUUUGGAAAUAAGGAACUUUUUCAUUAUUCAACUAAUGCUAAUAGUCCCAUUAUUAAGGAUUUUCUGGACCGAGCCACACCACACAGGGCCAAAGCCCCCAUUCCUAUGACACUCAAGAAGGAAAUCCCAAUUGAUUUUAUUGUAGGCUUUUUUGAUGUCUAGUUUCAGAACCACACCAACUCUUUUUUUUCACUGCGUGUGGUGAAGAAUUUCAUGCAGGGUCAAAAUGCCAUCCAUAAUGUUUCUAUGCUUUAUGAAGGCGUUUUGAUGUUUGCUGAUGAGAAUAUCAGCAAAAAUAGCCACUCUGUUGUCCAAAACUUUAGUGAUAAGUUUGUAUGGGCAACGGAGAAGGCAAAUCGGUCUAUAUUGUUGGAUUUUCUUAGCUCCAUUCAUUUUGGGGAUAAGGGUGAUCACCCCAUAACUCAGGCGAGCAACAUCUAAAGUGUUGUCGUGAAAAGCAUCAAACAAGCGCAUAAUAUCAUUUUUAACAAAGUCCCAGCAGUGUUUAUAAAACUCAGCUGGUAUGUUAUCCGGGCCAGGAGCUCGGUUGCUAUUCCUGCCAAAAACAGUUUUUUUCACUUCUUCUUCUUUUGUGAAUUUGCCGGUGAGGAGAAUGUUGUCAUGAUCAGUGAGUUUUUCAUUCUUAGCCCACAUAUUAGGGGAUAAGUGAAAGAGAUUUCCUCUAGCAGGGCCAAACAGAUCCUUGUAGUAAGCUGUGGCAUGAGCUAAAAGGUUGGUGGUCCCCUCAAUCACAACGUCCCCAUCCGUGAAAGAUUGAAUGGUGUUCUUUCUCUUUUUGCCAUUCGCCACUCUAUGAUAAAAGGCUGUAUUAAGAUCACCUUUUAAAAGCCAUCGCCCAUUCGAUUGUUGUAGCCAGUACAACUCUUCGUUAUUAAGAAUCUCACUGAGCUCUAUUUGUAAGGAGGUUUUCCUCUCAUACACAUCAGGGUCGAGAGGUCCUUCCUCUUCUAUACGUUCAAUUUCUUCCAAUUCCAAUUUGAUCUCUUUCUUUCUUUUUCUAACAUGGCCAAAGACAUUCGAACCCCACCCUUUAAAAGUAUUUUUUGAACCAUUUCAAUUUGAUAUUAAGGAUAUCAAUAGGAUCAUCAGCCCGGACUGGUUGUUCCCAGAUCUUUUUGGCAGUGGGGUAGAAGUUUUCAUCUCGCAGCCAGCUGAGCUCAAAUCUGAACUCAUGUUGGUGGGACGUAUCCAUUUUCUUCGUUCCCGAGGACAGGAGGAGUGGGUUGUGGUCGGAAACAUCUCUAACCAAUUUACGAACUGUAACCAAAGGGAACAAGUCCUCCCAAUCAAAACUCAUCAAAAUUCUAUCAAGUUUCUCCAGGGUGGGGUGGUUUUGAUUAUUAGUCCAUGUGUAUUUGCCCCCUCCCAUGUAUAUCUCCUGAAGGCUUAGUGAAUCUAUGAUGGAGUUGAACUUAUCCAUAUAAGGGGAUCGGUUCAUGGUUUUGUUCUUCUCAUAGUUUUCUCUAAUGAUAUUGAAAUCACCACCCACUAUAUAGGGGACUUGCGUGUGAGCACACAUCAAGGCUAAAUCCACAAGGAAGUCAUCUUAAGGUUAACAUCAUAGAGGUUGGCUUGCAAGCAAAACCUACCAGGAAUCCAGGAGACAACUUCUAAGGUUUCUCUCUUAAUACCACAAAGGAUACCACCUGCCUUACCGAUACAUGGAACCCAAUUCCAAUCAAAUCUAUCCACAGGGUCUAUUUUCCUAAGACAUUAAGGAGGAAAGCUUUUCUUCAUAGUCUCUUGAAGGCAAAUGAAAUCUAGGGAAUGAUCUUUAAUCAUGUCAGAGAAACAGGUACUCAUUCCUCUUUUACCUGCUCCCCUGCAAUUCCAAAAGAUGCCAUUCAUUUGAUAACAUUAGAUUUUUCCCCAUUUGGCAUUCCUACCAGGAGGCAAGGUAGGGCUACCACUGCAUUUUUCAGGAUUUUUCUUACCUUUUUGACUCCUAGUUAUUGGUCUAGAUAUGACAGCAUUAACCUUUCUUUCUUUUUUCUUUCUAGACCGAACUAUAGUAAAGGGUUCCUCAUCCAUCUCAUUCUCCUCACUCCAUAUCAUGUCCAAGGGGGUCUGGUCUCCUUUCCCAUUAGUCAAUAGUAGAAUAUUAUUAUUGUCACCCUUACUAUCUUCCUUUUCAUCUAAGGAAUCUCUAUUUCUGGCUCUUUCCAGUUCUAAUAUAUCAAUAUUAGCAAAAUCAGAAUUUGGAAUAUCUACACCCAUCUUAAUAGCUCUAAGAAUGAGAACAGGAUCAGACAAAGCAUCAAAGGAGUUAGGUUUCGUUGUGUUACCUUCCAUGUUCCUCUUUUUUGCCGCAGCCGUAGCCUUGUCCUCCACUCGCUCCAGUUUAUUCUGCACAUUCCUCAAACUGAAGCGCAGAUUCUCCUCAGUGACUAAAGGGGGAGUGGGAAUCACCUUAGCAUUCAUCUCAGGGGACUCCACCAUGUACUCACUGGUCACUUUCAGCGCCGAAUCAUGUUGGCCCACCAUUUCCACAACCUGUGGAGAGGAUUUGACCACAUCAGAAUAGGUUUUCACUGCCUCUUUAUAACCAGAAUUAAACUUCAUCAAGGUUUGUUGGAAAGGUGAACUUACUUUUUCUUUCUCUCCCUGCUCCUGAUCAUAUGCCAUGGUUUCAAUGAGAAGAGUAGUAUGCAGAGAGUCAUCAGACUCCAUACUUCCUGUGACUCCCGAAUCGUGUCAG
rnacentral:lncRNA from 1 species